rnacentral:ncRNA from 1 species
CCUGUAUAAUUAAGCGGAGGAAAAGAAACUUACAAGGAUUCCCCUAGUAACGAUGAGCGAACCAGGAAGAGCCCAACAUGAAAAUCGGGUGGUAGCGCCACCUGAAUUGUAAUUUGUAGAAGCGUUCUUAGCGGCGGAUCGGGCCCAAGUCCCCUGGAAGUAGGCGCCUGAGAGGGUGACAGCCCCGUUGGACCGUGACCCUGCCACACCAUGAGGCAUUGUCGGCGAGUUGGGUUGUCUGGGAAUGCAUCCCUAAUCGGGCUAAGGCUAAAUACUGGCGAGAGAACGAUAAUUAACAAGUACCGCGAGGGAAAGAUGAAAAGGACUCUGGAAAGAAAGUUAAAGAGUGCUUUAAAUUGACGGGAGGGAAUCAGAUGAAGAACGACUCAAGCUGGUCCACCGCUCGACUUGAGGUGCGAACCAGCACAGGCCGUUGCAUCGACACAAGCGCGAGUGGAGUACUGCCUGUUGGUUUUCCGUCGUGGCGGUCAAGAAACAAAACGUGCGCCCUUGGGGCAGGCCACUGUGCACCUGCACGCUCAUGGUGUUGGUUGGUGGGCUUUCCAUUUGACCCAUCUUGAAACACAAACCAAAGAUUCUAACAUGUGUGCGAGUCUGUGGGUUUGUAAACCUGCAAGGCAUAAGGAAGUUGACGGGCAAGAUCCCCUCUCCAUGGGGUGCAUUGUUGAUCGACCUUGAGCUUGUGCAAAGGGUUUGAGUGUGAGAACACCUGACGCAAUGACAUAUAUUAAAGAAAACCUGUUGAAUUUCAUACUUGAGGACGACUAUUUCUACAACGGAGGACUUCACAAUUCCAUGAAAAAUGAAUUCCUUAAGGCUGAUAGCGCGCUUGCGAAGCUCGCGAGCUGUGUCGAUAUGAUCUCCAGGGCGACGACCCUUGUGGAAAUAGUGUCGAGGAGGUCUCUGCUGGUUGAAAAUGUCGGUGACU